GAUGAACGCUGGCGGCGUGCUUAACACAUGCAAGUCGAACGGGAAUUACUUUAUUGAAACUUCGGUCGAUCUAAUUUAAUUCUAGUGGCGGACGGGUGAGUAACGCGUGGGUAACCUGCCUUGUACAGGGGGAUAACAGUCAGAAAUGACUGCUAAUACCGCAUAAGCGCACAGAGCUGCAUGGCUCAGUGUGAAAAACUCCGGUGGUAUAAGAUGGACCCGCGUUGGAUUAGCUAGUUGGUGAGGUAACGGCCCACCAAGGCGACGAUCCAUAGCCGGCCUGAGAGGGUGAACGGCCACAUUGGGACUGAGACACGGCCCAGACUCCUACGGGAGGCAGCAGUGGGGAAUAUUGCACAAUGGGGGAAACCCUGAUGCAGCGACGCCGCGUGAAGGAAGAAGUAUCUCGGUAUGUAAACUUCUAUCAGCAGGGAAGAAAAUGACGGUACCUGACUAAGAAGCCCCGGCUAACUACGUGCCAGCCGCCGCCGUAA
rnacentral:rRNA from 1 species